rnacentral:rRNA from 1 species
UACGGGGGGGGGCAAGCGUUGUUCGGAAUUACUGGGCGUAAAGCGCGCGUAGGCGGUUUUGCAAGCCAGAGGUGAAAUGCCUGAGCUCAACUUAGGAAUUGCCUUUGGGACUGCGAGGCUUUGAGGACUGGAGAGGUGAGUGGAAUUCCCAGUGUAGAGGUGAAAUUCGUAGAUAUUGGGAAGAACACCGGCGGCGAAGGCGGCUCACUGGCCAGUUUCUGACGCUGCAGCGCGAAAGCGUGGGGAUCAAACAGG